rnacentral:sRNA from 1 species
UCUGAAAUUAGUGGCAGCGGGUAAUGGU